rnacentral:rRNA from 1 species
CGUAGGUAAUCUACCUUUUGGGAUGGGGGAAGUAACAACCGGAAACGGUUGCUAAUACCGCAUAAUGCAGCGGCACCUAAUGGUGACAGUUGUUAAAGCGGGGGAUUGAAAGACCUCGCGUCUGAAGAGGAGCCUGCGGCGGAUUAGCUAGUUGGUAAGGUAAUGGCUUACCAAGGCUACGAUCCGUAACCGGCCUGAGAGGGCGGUCGGUCACACUGACACUGACAUACGGGUCAG